rfam:Clostridium taeniosporum strain 1/k, complete genome.
UACUUAUCAAGAGUGGUGGAGGGACUGGCCCUAUGAAGCCCAGCAACCUACUUUUAAGGUUAAUUAAUGUGUAAAUGCACAAAGUUUACUUUAAAUGUGUGGUGCCAAAUCCCGUUAGAUAAGAAGUCUAAUAUAGUAUGAGAA